rnacentral:misc_RNA from 1 species
GAAAUGCGAUAAGUAAUGUGAAUUGCAGAAUUCAGUGAAUCAUCGAAUCUUUGAACGCACCUUGCGCUCCUUGGUAUUCCGAGGAGCAUGCCUGUUCGAGUGUCAUGAAAUCUCUCAAACCGACGUCCCCCUUUGGCGGGAUGUUUGGGCUUGGACGUUGGACGUUUGCCGGGUUUUUGCCCGGCUCGUCUCAAAUGCAUUAGCUGGAUCCUCUUUCUUCCGGUUUUGGUGUGAUAAUGACAUCUACGCCGAUGAAUGCCGCGUCGAAAGGGGACCGCUCUCCAAUCGUCUUCGGACAACAUUUUCGUUCCAUUUGGCCUCGGAUCAGGUAGGACUACCCGCUGAACUUAA